GACGUUUUCAUAAGAAAUUAAAAGCCAUCAAUCUUCAAUUCCAACUAAGACAAGUACAUCCAUCUUUGUCCCUGGGAAUUUGUUGUCAAUGUGGAGAGGAUACUUUCCAUCAAUGCCAGUGGCACUCUAAGCUUAACAUGAUAUGGGCACUGUUAGAAGGAAAAACCUGUUAAUUUAAAUUUCUGUCGGUUGGGCGCAAAUUCAAGUGUCGCAAUUGUGUCCAAACACCCCGCACUCGCGCUGCCGAGAGGGGUUCUUUCUUUACGAGUAUGAAACGCCGGGCUGGCAGCGAGUAUACGCCAAUCUGACAUUUUUGGUUUGACGGAGCAGACUGUAUCAUCCCUUUUCACGAUUAGUCCCACAAUCCAUACUUUGUGCUAUACUUCAAGACGGUGUGUGUGGGAUUGAGUGUCUUUUCACAUGAACACUGUAUCGCUUCAGCAUCGGAGAAUCUUAUCGAUUAACAACUGAGACGGUAUUGGUACCAACCUCAACGUUUCCAGAGAUUUUUUGGAGCGCCUUAAAAUCUUCAACUGAAGUUUCUUCACCUUGAUUGGGAUUCGAUUUAUAAGACAAAGAUAUUUCUUAAGAACUAAAGACGAGGAGAUGUGGACGACAGCGAUGAAAAGUCGACAAGCUGGUCCCACACGAUCGACACACCCACUACUGACAUGGCUGGUAGUCUGCUUAAUCUCGUAUCAGGCAGUCCGGUGUAUGGGACAGUGUGCAUCGGGAGAACCCACAAAGAUGCGCAUACGGAGGCGGCACCUAGACGACCUGUCGUCGAUCGCGUCCAAUAUCAUCGGACGCGCGAUCGCCAUUUCUGAAAACGUCACCGAUUUGGAAAUUCUAACCCUGCUGGAUACAAUGCGGGAAUUGUCGCCAAGAUCGGUGGAAGCCUUUGAAAAUAUAAUCCAGAGGGAAUACCAUAACGACAUGGAGGCGUGGACGUGGAUGUGUCGAUCACAGCAAACCUUAGGGAAACGGAGAAAACGAGAAAGCGUGCUCGACAACUUGGCAUGACGUCAUGAGAUUUAGAGUCUUAUCGUAACAGUCAAAAAUAGUUUUAACUUGCGCCGUUGAUUAACAUUUAUUUUGAUAAUAAUAUCAGCUUUGUCGUUAUUUAUAUUGUUUGUUGUCUCUUCGUUGUUUAAAAUACCGCCAAGAUACUGUUAAGUGUGCUCAUGAUUUUUAAAGUAUUAAGCUGAAUAUUGUAGCUCAAUUUUCGUUAGUGUUUUCAUAGCUUAAAAUUGCGCCAAGAUUUGUAUAACUUUUAUUUAUUGUGUACGUUAGGGGGGAAAAUGUAUGUUUUAAUAUCUGAAUUUUUGCAAUAUUUGUAAAGGAACUGAACACGUUAAGUAAUUGUCAUAGACCAGUUUGCUAUUGAUGUAGGCCUAUCCCAAAGUUUGCAUCGGUAAAAAAUUCGGGACACGUUAAGUAACUGUCAAAGACCAGUCUGCUCUCUUGAUGUAGGCCUAUCCCAAAAUAUGCAUCUGUGAAAAUUUGGGCCCAUUUUGGUCGUCAAAGUUGCAGGAAAAGAAUGAAAGAAACAAAUCCUGUUGCAUACAUGUGUGCUUGAAGAUAUUUUGGUGAGAAAUUAUCUGUUUCUCAAAAAAAAACUACUCGAAAGGUAGUCGUUUACUAUAAGUUGUAAAUUUGGAAUAAAUACCGAAAGUGUCGAGGGCCUUCAGGCACGUGCAAAUUAGUGACUUUACAAAACCACGUAAUGGUUGGCAGGCCGAUAGGGUGAUCAGCCCAGUUUU